rnacentral:lncRNA from 1 species
AUGUAUGGCAUGCCUCUUAUGCUGUGUAUAAAAGCAGGGGCAGAAAGCUUUUGGGAAACCGAGGCAACCCAACUGCAAACUGACCUGGCAAUCACAGCCACUGCAAACAUGUUGACAGUAUUGGCUCUGAUGACACUGCUGAUGGUCUCGGUUGAGUCGGACCUCUCAAAUGAAGAGUGGAAGUCUCUGAGUAACCCACAGAGCAGGACCCUGUUUUUCCGGAUCCUGCAGUCGUAUCUUGAAGGCAGAGAGAGUGAAGCUCGAGCGAUGAACAGGAAAACGAAUGUGAAAGAGAACAAAAACAGCAAUGUAGAAAAUACUGGUUAUGACAAGUAUGACCUCUUUCUUCAUAAUGACAUUUAUGGUGUUUAGUUGAAGAUUUCAGUUUUAGUUUGACAAUGUCUAACAUAAAUCGGGUGUUAGGUCUAACAGCUUGAGAAAUGUUCAAGGCAUUAUGUUUGUAAUGAUGUGUAGUAUAGUAAAAUUUAAACACUUAAUGUAUUUCUCUUCUAAAAUGCUGUAUGUUUUCUGUUAUAAAUGUAUUACAAAGUUAAAAACUAGUUAAUAAAAGCUAAAAAUGGCAUAGAUAUUGUUUAUACGUAAGUACUAAGACAUGUAUUGUUAUUUCUAA